rnacentral:sRNA from 1 species
GUAACUAAAAAUGAAGGGAAGAUGGGUGGCUAAUGAAUAACUAAUCUUAUUUUUUGCACAUGAAAUUUAUAUUUCACGAAAAACAAAAAUAGGAUUAGUCUGCCCAUUUUCCAUAAUAAUAGCUAAAUAUUGGCCCAUAGUUGCUAAUAUUUAGCUCAUCCAAAACUUGCUUUUGGAGUGAUAAAUAUAGCUAUUACAAUAGCUUAUUUGUGCAUGAUAUUGUAGCGACUAAUCCUUCCAAAAUAAUUGGAGGGAUUUUUUU